UGGGUAAGCUCGAAAAGCAUAAAAGCAUUAGUCAGCACCCAAAAUACACGUGGUGAAACCACCAUCUGACACCUGUGCUUCCCUUCUGUUUAUUUCUUCCUCUUCCACACUACUUGGAUGCGAAGAAGGAGAAGAGACCGGGAGAGGUGGUCUCGAAGAGGGAGUACGAGAAGGAAACUAUGCAUUUAAUCGGUGAUUUGGACCAAGGGCCCAGUUCAUCCAAGAGGAAAGAGGAGCUGGUGGAAGCAUAGUUAAGGCUGAAGGAGAGAAGAAUUUAGUGCUUAGUUAAUUAAUUAAUCUUGAAUAUAUUUUAUGUUAUGUUCUCCUUUUUCUCUUGUGAUAUGUGAUGUUCAUAUUUUCCGUUUUGUAAAUUUCACUUAAUGGGCUGUACGUUGAUUAGGGGUAAUUUAGCAUAGCUGGGGAGUUAGUGUGUGUGUAUAUUUAUGUAUAUAUUGAUAAUAUAUCUGUGGUAUGAAAGAAUUAGAAUUUACAAAGCAUGAUUUAUUAGAGCUGAAACAGAAAGGUACAGUUUU